GCGGGCUUCUGCCUAGGGAAGUAGAAAAACAAAGCCGGGAGCGUCGCCACGGCAAUUGGAAAACUUCAGGAGCUUUUAAGCGGUCUAGGUGUUAGAAAGUGUUUGGCGUCGUGAAGGAAAUACCUGCCAACGUAGAGAAGGGUCGUCGGAAUCUUGGAAGUGAUGAGGUGAUGCCUUCCUUUACUCUUGGGAAACUGCAGCCGGCGGAUGAAGACAGGAAUCCGGGCUUCCCUGGUGGCGCAGUGGUUGAGAGUCCGCCUGCCGGUGCAGGGGACACACGGGUUCGUGCCCUGGUCCGGGAGGAUCCCACAUGCUGUGGAGUGGCUGGGCCUGUGAGCCAUGGCCGCUGAGCCUGCACGUCUGGAGCCUGUGCUCCGCAAUGGGAGAGGCCACAACAAUGAGAGGCCCUCGUACCGCAAAGGGAAGAAAGAGAAAGGAAAAAAAAAAAAAAAAAAGACAGGAAUCUGUAGUAUAUAUACUGGUUCAUGGCAAUAUUUACUUAAUUCAUUAUGAACAUCUCCUCAUGUCAUUUAAUAUUCUUCUUCGAUUAAAAUUCCAUCAGGUGACUGUGCCUUUGGGUAUUAUGUCUCACAAUUCAACCAGUUUCCUACUCUUGGGCGUUGAGGUUGUUUCAGUUUCUUUGAAAGAUUCAGGGACGUAAAUGGGCUGCUGCUUUCCUUAUAUGACAGGGUGCUCUGGGAAUGUCUGUUGAACCAAAGGUACUGGCUGCUGGCCUUCUCUGCAGAGAGGCUGAUAAAGUCGCCAGGCAUUCUUUUCUCUGUGGCCUGGAAUUGCAGAGCUAAGAAAGCCAGGGAAGCCUGAAAGCUCCUGUAGGGUAGCCCCUUCACCCCUGCUCCCCCCAGAGUUUCCUCCUUUUCAACCUGAAGAAAAGGUAUUGAGAUGAAAGAAAUUGAGGGAGGGGUUGGAAAUCAGGGCUCAAUUAAUAAAACCUCACAAAACUGCUGGCAUAUGUGUCUCCAAUUUACAGAUGAGGAAAGUAAGGCACAGAGACAAUCUGUGCAAACCUGCACAGCUACUUAGAGAGUCCGAGUUUGACUUGGUUCUGAAAUUUGAACUCUCCCCACCAUGCUUCCUACUUCUAAAAACGGAUGGCUAUAACUUCAUUCUUCUUUUUUUUUUUUUCUGUGAGAAAUUUGUUGUCAGUCUCCUAAGAUUUAUUGGUUAUCUGCUCCCUUAAAAAAAAAUUCCCUCCUGACUGUCCAAGGAUUUCUUCUGCCUCUGGAUUUCCCAAGUUGGCUCCCUCUUUGCCAAAAGAAUAUAUCCUCAUUCUUUGAUAAAGAAUCAGACAACUUAGCUUUUGUUCACCCCUGCCUAACAUUUGCUAGUUUUCUUACCAAAGUGUCCUUACUGUAUGCCUUGGAAGGUCAAACUCAUAAAAGGAAGUUCUCAUAAAGCCUGCAUAAAGUUAACAAUAUUACACAUAGUUCCUUAGCUUUGGGGAUUUAUAAAGUAUGACUAUAUAGAGAGCAAUAAGUCUGUUUUUCUGGUUUGGUUAUAACCUGGUUCUAAAGGAAUUUCUAAAAGAGGCUUUACAAAAUUGUUUAGAGCCAUGCAGCAUCAUUAAAAUGGGUGUAUAACCUACCAAUAUGACACUUUUAAGGCAGUAACACAUAUUUGGAAGUGUAAUUUCUGGAAUGUUUUGUUAAAGGCUCUAUAUAUAAUCUAAUCAGAAUCAGUUUCAAUCAAGAAGAUACCUUUUCUCGCUCUCUUUUUUUUUUUUUUUAGUAUUUAUUUGGCUGUGCUGGGUCUUAGUUGCAGCACACGGGAUCUUUGUUGCGGCGCAUGGGCUUCUCUCUAGUUGUGGCACGGGGGCUCCAGAGCGUGAAGUCUCAGUAGUUAGUUGUCCCAGGCAUGUGGGAUCUUAGUUCCCCAACCAGGGAUCGAACCCGUGUCCCCUACACUGGAAGGCAGAUUCUUAACCACUGGACCACUAGGGAAGUCCCAAGAAGAUACCUUUUUUCCAUCCUCCCUGCCCCACCCCCCAUACUAUACCAGUACCCUAGCCCAAACUACCAUCACCUCUUGCAUGGAUUUUCUCAGUAGCUUCCUAACAAAUCUUCCUGAAUCCACUUUUGCUCUCUUUUAGCCAGGCAGGGUGAUCUUUGUGAUCAUGGUACAGCUAACCCCCUCCUUCCCCCAGCUUGAAACACUGCAAUAGCUUCCCACUGUCCCUGGUAUUGGCCUUCUUUCCUCUUCCCUAUGGCCAUUAGACCUUGGCACAAACAUUUUCCCUACCUAGAAUGCUCUUCCUUUCCAGGUAGUUAAAGCGCAGAAUAAGAACCCAAUUUUCCUAAUUCCCAGGCUGAAUCUCUAAUGUAAGUGUGUUCCUGGGGAUUAGUUGUUGUCCAGCAGGGGGAAAACAUGAUUUGGAGGUUCAAAGGAAAUUCAGUAGCGCAGGGGUUAAGAGUGUGGGCUUUGGGGCCAGUCCGCCUGGGUUCCAGUCCAGUACUAACCAUAUGAUCUUGGGCAAAUUUUUUUUUUUAACACCCUUGCCUUAUUUCUUCUGUUGUAUAAUGGGCCAUGGUAAGGUUAUCUACCUCAUAAAGCUAUAUUGUUUAAAUAAGUUAACACAUGGAAAGAGCUCAGUAAAUUUUAACUUUAACAAUAGUCUCAACAAUAGAUUAAGGGCCCAAUAUAAUUUCUUAUGUAGAGAGUAAAA